UACUCUUUGGGUUGCUCCCUUUCUGAGAGG
rnacentral:piRNA from 1 species